AUAUAUAUAUAUAUAUAUAUAUAUAGUUUCUGAUGGAUCAUGCCAAUAUCGAUCGUUAAAAUAGGUGGUCGUUGCAUCAUGCUCCGUGUCAAUUACCAAAGACAUCUCUUUAAUUAAUCGAUGUACUUACGCACCCGUUAACAACUAACUCUUUCUCUCUCUCUCUCUCUCUCUCUCUCUCUCUCUCUCUCUCUCUCUCUCUCUCUCUCUCUCUCUCUCUCUCUCUCUCUCUCUCUCUCUCUCUCUCUCAAAUAUACGCACGUUCAGCCGAUUAGAUAAAUAUCAUGUAACAAUUAUUAAUUGCGGAGAGGUUAACACCGUUCUCUCAAGUCCUUUUUUUUUUCUUUUUCUUUCUUUUCUCUCUCUCUCUCUCUCUCUCUCUCUUUUCUUUUUGUACACGUGAAUACAAAUGGAGCCUAGUCAAAAGUAAUAUUAUACGAAUUAAUAUAAUUCAUCAUUUUUCACGCUCUCAUCAUCCUUUUUCACCAGAUCCUCCUCUUCAGCACGUAACGUUUAUUUGGUUGUUGAUCAAAUCGGGGGAAAGAAAAAUAUUAAGGGAAAAUUUAGUGCUGUCUGACGUUGAUCACCAUCAUUUAGUACAUUUAUUAUCAUUUAUUAUCGCUAUUAUCCCAAUUUACCAACAAUUAUCGUUACCUUUAUUAUAUCCAUAAUUAUUAUUAUUAUUAUUAUUAGAACUAUUAUUAUUAUUAUUAUUAUUAAUAUUUGUCGCUAUCGCUCUGUUGAUGAUAGAUUAAUUAAUGUUAUAUUAUGACGUAAUUAUUAUCGCUAUGAUUAUUGGUGGUAUCGUUAUUGUAAAACUUUAUUCUUAUCAUUAUUAUUACUUUUAUAUCUUAUUAUUAUUAUUAUUCGCACUUUGUAGGAAUGGUGUUUACGAUUUAUUAUUACUCGUCGUAAAAAAUAUUUGUUUGUUAGACGAUCAUUGUGACGCUAAGCAAAUCAUUUUUUUUUUUGAUUGCGGUGCAAUAUAUAUAUAUAUAUA